CGACAGCGGGACGGUGGUCAUGGAAGUCGAAAUCCGCUAAGAAGCGUGUAAAAACGUACCCGCCCAACGGAUCGGCCCCGAAAAUUGAUGGCGCUCGAACGCAACCCUCGAACCCCGCCGACGGAGGCUAGGGGAGGCCCCGUCGAGUAGGCGGACGCGCGGGUCGCUUCGACGCUCUCGCGCGAGCGGGGGCGGAGCGGCCCGUGGUGCAGAUCUUGGUGGUAGUAGCGAUCACCCAGGCGAGAACCCUGAGGGCCGAAGUGGAGAAGGGUUUCUCGAGAACGGCACUCGCUCGAGAGUUAGUCGAUCCUAAGCUGCCGGCGGCAGCACGAAACGGUCGAUCGGGCGCGAGCCCGGCAGCCACGACCGGGCAGCGAAAGGGAAUUGGGAACCUCCUUCCCAAACCCGGAACCGG
rnacentral:rRNA from 1 species